UCUCCUGGAAAACGGGUGGUAAUGCCGGAUGCUCCAGUUGAUCGCAUGGUCUUCUGGGAAAGCUUUCGCGGUAUGGGAUGGGGUCGCGUCCUAUCAGCUUGACGGCGGGGUAACGGCCCACCGUGGCUUCGACGGGUAGCCGGCCUGAGAGGGCGACCGGCCACAUUGGGACUGAGAUACGGCCCAGACUCCUACGGGAGGCAGCAGUGGGGAAUAUUGCACAAUGGGCGCAAGCCUGAUGCAGCGACGCCGCGUGAGGGAUGGAGGCCUUCGGGUUGUAAACCUCUUUUAUCGGGGAGCAAGCGAGAGUGAGUUUACCCGUUGAAUAAGCACCGGCUAACUACGUGCCAGCAGCCGCGGUAAUACGUAGGGUGCAAGCGUUAUCCGGAAUUAUUGGGCGUAAAGGGCUCGUAGGCGGUUCGUCGCGUCCGGUGUGAAAGUCCAUCGCUUAACGGUGGAUCCGCGCCGGGUACGGGCGGGCUUGAGUGCGGUAGGGGAGACUGGAAUUCCCGGUGUAACGGUGGAAUGUGUAGAUAUCGGGAA
rnacentral:rRNA from 1 species